rnacentral:rRNA from 1 species
UACGGAGGGGGCUAGCGUUGUCCGGAUUUACUGGGCGUAAAGAGCGCGCAGGCGGUCGUUCAAGUCGCGUGUGAAAGCCCCCGGCUCAACUGGGGAGGGUCACGCGAUACUGAUCGACUCGAAGGCAGGAGAGGGAAGUGGAAUUCCCGGUGUAGUGGUGAAAUGCGUAGAUAUCGGGAGGAGCACCAGUGGCGAAGGCGACUUCCUGGCCUGUUCUUGACGCUGAGGCGCGAAAGCUAGGGGAGCAAACGGG